ACGGAGGGUGCGAGCGUUAAUCGGAAUUACUGGGCGUAAAGCGUGCGUAGGCGGCUUUGUAAGUCAGAGGUGAAAGCCCACGGCUCAACCUGGGCAUUGCCUUUGAGACUGCAGAGCUUGAGUUCGGCAGAGGGUGGUAGAAUUCCAGGUGUAGCAGUGAAAUGCGUAGAGAUGUGGAGGAACAUCGGUGGCGAAGGCAGCCACCUGGGCCGUUACUGACGCUCAUGCGCGAAAGCGUGGGGAGCAAACAG
rnacentral:rRNA from 1 species